rnacentral:rRNA from 1 species
AGAAAGGUCCCUUCGGGGGCCCGGUACAGUGGCGCACGGGUGAGUAACACGUGGGUAAUCUGCCCUUGAGUGGGGAAUAACCCAGGGAAACUUGGGCUAAUACCGCAUAACAUCCCGACCUCUCCGGGGGACGGGAUCAAAGCCGGGGAUCGCAAGACCUGGCGCUCGAGGAGGAGCCUGCGCCUGAUUAGCUUGUUGGUGGGGUAACGGCCUACCAAGGCGACGAUCAGUAGCCGGCCUGAGAGGGUGAUCGGCCACACUGGAACUGAGACACGGUCCAGACUCCUACGGGAGGCAGCAGUGAGGAAUUUUGCGCAAUGGGCGAAAGCCUGACGCAGCAACGCCGCGUGGAUGAUGAAGGCCUUCGGGUCGUAAAAUCCUGUCAAGUGGGAAGAAAGCUCCUCCGUGAAUAGCGGAGGGGACUGACUGUACCACUGGAGGAAGCCCCGGCUAACUCCGUGCCAGCAGCCGCGGUAAUACGGAGGGGGCAAGCGUUGUUCGGAAUUAUUGGGCGUAAAGGGCGCGUAGGCGGCCUGGUAAGUCGGUUGUGAAAUCCCUUGGCUCAACCAAGGAACUGCACCCGAAACUGCCGGGCCUGAGUCCGGGAGAGGGUAGAGGAAUUCCCAGUGUAGCGGUGAAAUGCGUAGAUAUUGGGAGGAACACCAGUGGCGAAGGCGGCUACCUGGACCGGUACUGACGCUGAGGCGCGAAAGCUAGGGGAGCAAACAGGAUUAGAUAC